UACGUAGGGUGCGAGCGUUAAUCGGAAUUACUGGGCGUAAAGGGUGCGCAGGCGGUCUCGUAAGCUGGGUGUGAAAGCCCCGGGCUUAACCUGGGAAUGGCAUUCAGGACUGCGAGGCUUUGAGUGCGGCAGAGGGAGGUGGAAUUCCACGUGUAGCAGUGAAAUGCGUAGAGAUGUGGAGGAACACCGAUGGCGAAGGCAGCCUCCUGGGCUAGUACUGACGCUCAUGCACGAAAGCGUGGGGAGCAAACAGG
rnacentral:rRNA from 1 species